UACGUUCCCGGGCCUUGUACACACCGCCCGUCACACCAUGGGAGUUGACCGUGCCCGAAGCCGUGUCCCCAACCGUAAGGGGGGGAGCGUCUACGGCAAGGUCGGCGACUGGGGUG
rnacentral:rRNA from 1 species